ncrna:Methanosphaerula palustris E1-9c L4-Archaeoglobi ribosomal protein leader
CUGAAGGACAGUGGGUGGACGUUCGUGCAACGAGCCCGUUCCUGCACACUGCAGGAGAUUGUCCUGUUCAG